GCCUCGGUAGUUCAACGGAUAGAACAUCGGUCUUCGGAACCGAUAGUGGGGGUUCGAUUCCCUCCCGAGGUA
rnacentral:tRNA from 2 species